ensembl:lncRNA
AGAUUCUACAGCAGUCAGACCUACCAGGAGGCAGAGAAACAGGUCAGGAAGAUAGAGAGAAGGAUACAGCAAGAACAAGAGGUGGAGGAGAGGAAACUGAUGGAGGAGAUAGAGAAAAGAAAGGAACUUGAUGAAAAGCGGGAGAGUGAUAUUCAGCAGCUUGAAGGAGAAAUUAGAAUAUUAAAUGAGAGAACAACAGUAAUGGAGAGCAAGAUGGAGGAAGAGAGGGAUGAAGAGAAAAAGAAUGAAGCGAUAACAGAGAAAGAGGAGCUGGAGAGAAGGCUGACCAGAGUGACAAAUAAGAGAAAAGUGGAGAAGAAAGAGAUGGAGGAGCUGGAGAGAAAGCUGACCAGUGUGAGAAAUAAAAGAAAAAGGGAGUGGAGAGAGACAGAGGAGAUGGAGGAGAGUCACAGAAAGGAGAUGGAGGAGAUGAGAGAGAGCUAUGACAUAGAGGUCUGGGAGGGAGCAGCAGAGAGAAACCUCAUGAAGAUCAUCCUAACUUGCCUACAGAAAAUCAUCAGCAUCACCAAGAUGGAGGGCGAGUUCAACAAACAGAUGGAGGAGAAGAACAGAGAGAUCAAAAGAAUGAAGGACAGACUGAGAGUGAAUAAGGGGAAGUUAAUGGACAUAUUUCAAGGGGCGGUGGAGAGAUUAGGAGGACUGCCUAGCGAUAGUGAAUCUGAGUUUGAGAACUGAGAGGAGAGGGGGCACAUUCAACAUCAACAGACCUCAAGUCAGAGCGGAAUGCACUAUGAUUCUCCAUGGAGAUGAAUGAUAAAGAUUAGGGAACGUGUCUGUUUCAUGCAAUUACAUAUAUUACCCAUCUGCUGUAAAGGGGUGGUGUUUAUAUUAGACCUGUGAGUCCAUCAUUACUAAAGGAGGACAGGUCUGCUGUAAAGGGGUGGUGUUUAUAUUAGACCUGUGAGUCCAUCAUUACUAAAGGAGGACAGGUCUGCUGUAAAGGGGUGGUGUUUAUAUUAUACUGUGAGUCCAUCAUUAAUAAAGGAGGACAGGUCUGCAAAAGUUUUUGUUUGAUAUUAUAUUAACAUACUUUUCAAAUAGCCAUUGGCCAGGCUGUCAGAUGUUUAUUUUAUCACUAUAACAUUACACUCGAAAUCGGAAGACUAUUUUUUUUUUCUUUGUCUUUGUUUUUUUUUCUUCAUUUAAAACUGCUGAUGCUAUGGCAGUGGGUUGCGUUCAAGAUGAGCAAAAACAGUCUCACCAGUUCAAUUUUAAGCAGUGGGUUUCAAUGUGCUAAAAUAAUAGACUAUGAUUUAAUUAAAUGUUUUACUGAAAUUGUAUUUUGAAUCUUUUUGUUUGUUUGUUUCUGUCACUUUUGGUAUAGUAAUACCAUUAGAUUGGUAUAGUAAUCUAAUAUGUCUAAUUUCAGACCUGUCUGAUAAUAAAAUACUAUCUAUCUAUAUAAUAUAUUUAGUCGG